AUGUCCUACGGGGGGCAGCAGUAGGGAAUCUUCCACAAUGGGCGAAAGCCUGAUGGAGCAACGCCGCGUGGGUGAAGAAGGUCUUCGGAUCGUAAAACCCUGUUGUUAGAGAAGAAAGUGCGUGAGAGUAAAUGUUCACGUUUCGACGGUAUCUAACCAGAAAGCCACGGCUAACUACGUGCCAGCAGCCGCGGUAAUACGUAGGUGGCAAGCGUUAUCCGGAUUUAUUGGGCGUAAAGUGAACGCAGGCGGUCUUUUAAGUCUGAAGUGCAAGCC
rnacentral:rRNA from 1 species